rnacentral:tRNA from 1 species
CAUUCAGAAGAUGUAUAUUAAAGUUUUGCAGGUCUU